rnacentral:rRNA from 1 species
CAAGUCGAACGGAUCCUUCGGGAUUAGUGGCAGACGGGUGAGUAACGCGUGGGAAGCUACCUUGUGGUAGGGGACAACAGUUGGAAACGACUGCUAAUACCCUAUGAGCCCUAUGGGGGAAAGAUUUAUCGCCAUGAGAUGUGCCCGCGUUAGAUUAGCUAGUUGGUAAGGUAAUGGCUUACCAAGGCGACGAUCUAUAGCUGGUCUGAGAGGAUGAUCAGCCACACUGGGACUGAGACACGGCCCAGACUCCUACGGGAGGCAGCAGUGGGGAAUAUUGGACAAUGGGGGCAACCCUGAUCCAGCCAUGCCGCGUGUGUGAUGACGGCCUUAGGGUUGUAAAGCACUUUCAGCAGUGAAGAUAAUGACAUUAACUGCAGAAGAAGCCCCGGCUAACUUCGUGCCAGCAGCCGCGGUAAUACGAAGGGGGCUAGCGUUGUUCGGAAUCACUGGGCGUAAAGAGUACGUAGGCGGACUGAUAAGUUAGGGGUGAAAUCCCAAGGCUCAACCUUGGAACUGCCUUUGAUACUGUCAGUCUUGAGAUCGAGAGAGGUGAGUGGAACUCCGAGUGUAGAGGUGAAAUUCGUAGAUAUUCGGAAGAACACCAGUGGCGAAGGCGGCUCACUGGCUCGAUACUGACGCUGAGGUACGAAAGCGUGGGGAGCAAACAGGAUUAGAUACCC